UGCCGCCUCCCUCACCCUAGGGCUCCCGGGACCCAGGGGAGAUGCUGCCCCAGAAGCUGAGGCA